UACGUAGGGGGCUAGCGUUGCUCGGAAUCACUGGGCGUAAAGCGCACGUAGGCGGCUUUCUAAGUCAGGGGUGAAAUCCUGGAGCUCAACUCCAGAACUGCCCUUGAUACUGGAGAGCUUGAGUUCGGGAGAGGUGAGUGGAACUGCGAGUGUAGAGGUGAAAUUCGUAGAUAUUCGCAAGAACACCAGUGGCGAAGGCGGCUCACUGGCCCGAUACUGACGCUGAGGUGCGAAAGCGUGGGGAGCAAACAGG
rnacentral:rRNA from 1 species